rnacentral:rRNA from 1 species
GACGAACCGUGCGAACGUUGUUCGGAAUCACUGGGCUUAAAGGGCGCGUAGGCGGGUGGCCAAGUCAGGGGUGAAAUCCUCCAGCUUAACUGGAGAACAGCUUCUGAUACUGGCUGUCUUGAGGGGGGUAGGGGCAUGUGGAACUUCCGGUGGAGCGGUGAAAUGCGUAGAUAUCGAGAGGAACACCUGCGGCGAAGGCGGGUUGCUGGGCUGACACUGACGCUGAGGCGCGAAAGCCAGGGGAGCGAACGGG